rnacentral:rRNA from 1 species
UGUGUGUUAGUGGAAGCGUCUGGAAAGGCGCGCGAUACAGGGUGACAGCCCCGUACACAAAAAUGCACAUGCUGUGAGCUCGAUGAGUAGGGCGGGACACGUGGUAUCCUGUCUGAAUAUGGGGGGACCAUCCUCCAAGGCUAAAUACUCCUGACUGACCGAUAGUGAACCAGUACCGUGAGGGAAAGGCGAAAAGAACCCCGGCGAGGGGAGUGAAAAAGAACCUGAAACCGUGUACGUACAAGCAGUGGGAGCCUCUUUUAUGGGGUGACUGCGUACCUUUUGUAUAAUGGGUCAGCGACUUAUAUUCUGUAGCAAGGUUAACCGAAUAGGGGAGCCGAAGGGAAACCGAGUCUUAACUGGGCGUUAAGUUGCAGGGUAUAGACCCGAAACCCGGUGAUCUAGCCAUGGGCAGGUUGAAGGUUGGGUAACACUAACUGGAGGACCGAACCGACUAAUGUUGAAAAAUUAGCGGAUGACUUGUGGCUGGGGGUGAAAGGCCAAUCAAACCGGGAGAUAGCUGGUUCUCCCCGAAAGCUAUUUAGGUAGCGCCUCGUGAAUUCAUCUCCGGGGGUAGAGCACUGUUUCGGCAAGGGGGUCAUCCCGACUUACCAACCCGAUGCAAACUGCGAAUACCGGAGAAUGUUAUCACGGGAGACACACGGCGGGUGCUAACGUCCGUCGUGAAGAGGGAAACAACCCAGACCGCCAGCUAAGGUCCCAAAGUCAUGGUUAAGU